rnacentral:lncRNA from 1 species
ACAUUGUUUUUGAAGCGAGUAACAAACUGUCGUCAUUUGCCCGCGGUUUUAUCUUUCGGUUUUCUCGGGACAUAUCGUCAUGAUAGUGAUAAGCCAUAUAUACCGAAUGGACUGCAAAGAUUUGUUAAGGGGAAUUCUAAUUGGUUUAAAAAGUCACGUGUGAAAUCGUCAGAAGUGAAAUUACAUAUUGAUAGUUGUUUGAUCUCAUAUGUAGUAUAACGUAAUCAGAGAUCAAUAUUUUAAUUAGAUUGUC